rnacentral:rRNA from 1 species
UCGCGGCUACCAUGCAGUCGAACGGAAAGGCCCUGCUUUUGUGGGGUGCUCGAGUGGCGAACGGGUGAGUAACACGUGAGUAACCUGCCCUUGACUUUGGGAUAACUUCAGGAAACUGGGGCUAAUACCGGAUAGGAGCUCCUGCUGCAUGGUGGGGGUUGGAAAGUUUCGGCGGUUGGGGAUGGACUCGCGGCUUAUCAGCUUGUUGGUGGGGUAGUGGCUUACCAAGGCUUUGACGGGUAGCCGGCCUGAGAGGGUGACCGGCCACAUUGGGACUGAGAUACGGCCCAGACUCCUACGGGAGGCAGCAGAGGGGAAUAUUGCACAAUGGGCGGAAGCCUGAUGCAGCAACGCCGCGUGCGGGAUGACGGCCUUCGGGUUGUAAACCGCUUUCGCCUGUGACGAAGCGUGAGUGACGGUAAUGGGUAAAGAAGCACCGGCUAACUACGUGCCAGCAGCCGCGGUGAUACGUAGGGUGCGAGCGUUGUCCGGAUUUAUUGGGCGUAAAGGGCUCGUAGGUGGUUGAUCGCGUCGGAAGUGUAAUCUUGGGGCUUAACCCUGAGCGUGCUUUCGAUACGGGUUGACUUGAGGAAGGUAGGGGAGAAUGGAAUUCCUGGUGGAGCGGUGGAAUGCGCAGAUAUCAGGAGGAACACCAGUGGCGAAGGCGGUUCUCUGGGCCUUUCCUGACGCUGAGGAGCGAAAGCGUGGGGAGCGAACAGGCUUAGAUACCCUGGUAGUCCACGCUGUAAACGGUGGGUACUAGGUGUGGGGUCCAUUCCACGGGUUCCGUGCCGUAGCUAACGCUUUAAGUACCCCGCCUGGGG